ensembl:lncRNA
GGAGUUUCUGAAGCUUCUCAACCAAAGCAAGCUUCGGUAGCUGGCAACAAUUUCAUUGACUCUACAAUAGCACUUAAUAAAUAUUGAUCAGUCAAUGUAAUCACAUAGUAGAGGGGGAGAGACUGUGUUUGUGUGUGAGAAUCUAGCCUGGUGUAGUCAGAAGGUCCACUACAUUCCCCUCGAUCCCAGUAGAUACAUAUUGAGUUAGUCCAGUCCAUGGAGGGCUUUAACAUUGAUUGUGAUCAUUAAAUAUAUCCGCUCCAAAUGGCAGCAUGGCGUUCUAGCCGUCAAUACUACCAGUAUCAGGAACACAGACAUCAUCAAAUCAAUCCACCUAUAAUUAUACACUGAGAGAGCAAAUGAAUCUUAUGGGACAUAAAACAAUGAAAAGGGAAAAUGGAGCCAUCAGCCAGUACACAUUAAGGACCUAAUUCAAUCAAACUAACAUUGCAGUAUUUACACAGUAGAUUUUUCCCAUUGUCAAGUGAACCCUGAAGAAUGGUGUUACAGAACACCCUUCCAGAAGAGUUUUUCAGAAAGUCUUCCAGAAUGAUCUGCGGUAAUGCGCAGCGGUAAUGGGGAUAGCGUCUACACACUCUUUCACAGUCUUCACAAAUUGCUGCAUCAGUCAAAUUACAUUGAAUUGAUUGCAUCUGAUUUGUUUAAGCCCAACAUGAACACAUCACAUUUCCUAAAUGAAAUCAGAAUCCCCUUAAUUUGAACUGUGCAUGUAUACACACUCAGCUGUGUCCUUGGUGCAAAGCUGCUGCUGGAGGUUGACAUCAUUUAGGGGCUGAAUACACAGGACCUAUGGCAAAGUUGACAGACAGUUCUAUACACUGGGUGUAGCCUAUCGAAAUAAGGGCACUCAGUGAAAAUCGUUAAACUAAAUAAAAAGGAUGUAUAUCAGCCUAAUGAUGGGGUAGGCUGUAUGGAUGAGGUUAUUAUAAUGCCACUCUAUGUAUCCAAAGGCAGUGUCUGCAAUAUCCUAACAGACUUUACCACAAGGGGCUGCUUGUGGAUUUGACAGCUCUAAUGCAGUCCAACACUGCCAAAACAACCGCUAUGCGGAUGUCAGCUAAAUCACAUCUGAUUGCAUGCGGUCCCCGAAUCUAUAUAGUAAAUAUAAAUAUAUAAAUGUGAGGAAACAAAAUGUAUUUUUUUUUACACACACAGUUGUAUCACCACACAAGCAACUCAAUCACAUCACACAUUAAGGAGAGAGAUGUGUAGAGGGAGAUUAAGUAGAUAAAUAGAGGGGAGAGUGAGAGAAAGACAGGUAGAGAGAGAUGGUAAGUAGAGGGGGAGAAAGACAGGUAGAGAGAGAUGGUAAGUAGAGGGGGAGAAAGACAGGUAGAGAGAGAUGGUAAGUAGAGGGGGAGAAAGACAGGUAGAGAGAGACGUUAAGUAGAGGGGGAGAAAGACAAUUAGAGGGGGAUAAAGAGACAGACAGGUAGAGGGAUAGAGACAGUAAUUAGAGUGGGAGAUAGACAGGUAGAGAAAAAGAGAGUAAGUAGAGGUAGACAGACAGACACUGAAUAGAGUUAGAGGGAGAUGCAGAUAGAGAUAGAUCCAGGUAGAGAUAGAGACAGUAAGAGAAAGAUUAGUAGAGAGAGAAAGAGAUGGAGAGAGUAAGAGAUGGAGAGAGAGAUGGAGAGAGUAAGAGAUGGAGAGAGAGAGAUGGAGAGAGAAAGAGAUGGAGAGAGAAAGGUGGUAGAGAGAGGGAGAGAGUUGUGGAUCAAAGGAGCUAGGUGUUCCUCCUCUGAAAGGCGAUUGGUCUCCUCUAUCCUCUUUUCUCUGAACACUGGGAGGAAGUGUUAAGUAUUGAUUAACUAUCAGAUGAUUCCGAUAGGGCCAGAUCGAUAAGACUUGGCAUGAAAGCCAGGCAGGAAUCUUCCUCUACAGCCAGAACAUACAUUUAUAUAAAUACUGUACACACACACACACACACACACACAGACACACAAUACUUUUACUUUCAAAGUGAGGACCAGCAAUUAUUAUCAUAAAAAUAUUUAUAUAUUCCAUGACAACUAACUCUAAAGCUUACCCCAACCUUAACCUAAAUUUAACAUAACCCUAACUCCUACACCUACUUUCACAAUGAAUCAUUUUCCUCGAUUUACAACCUGCAAAAACACUAUCUUAAUGAACCUUUAACCUAACCACUAACCCAAAUAUAACUUCUACCCUAACCGUUUAUUUAAUUUUUUUCUGCUUUGGUCCCCACAAGGACAGUAUAAAGUAAAAACAUACACUAUGAAAUUCCCACAGCAGCAAUGCCCAUUCAGAAGGAUUUCCUGUUUGUCUGUCCUCAAUCUAUGUCUAUAUUUACAUAUAUUUCCUGUAUGUCUUCUACUUUUUUAAACUGUAAACACACUUCUAAAGACUAACACCAUAUCGAUUAAAACCCAGUGUUGGCACAGAAUACCCAUUGCACACUGCUGAGAGAAAUUCAAAACACUAUUACAAAAGGAAUUAAUGAAUCAAUAAGCUGUUCUAGAAUUUCCCCAUAAAUUAUGUUUAGAGGGUAUACGGAAAUGUACAAAACUGUAAUUCACCAAAACUUUGGUAAUUCACCAAAACUUUAACUCCCUCAGCUGCCUGUGUUCAGAGAUUUUUACCUAAUCAGGAUAUAUUUUCUGACAUUCUGGGUACCAGUGUAAGAUAUAUUUUUCUUAACUCGAUUUUUCUAAACAUAUAAGGUUGUUUUCAAUAACCAUGUUCACAAUGACUAGUUCCUGGGCCUCAGACAUUAAGGAUGGUCUACCAGCAUCAACUUGUCUCUUUCAAUUCUACAAAAAGAAAAAGUGGAAGAAAAAGGGCCUUUUUAUUCAGGCCAACAUCUCGACUGUUAAAUAAUCAAGCUUGUUAGUAUUUAUACCGCAAGACCUGUGUGUUAAGAGUGUUAGAAUUUCCAGGAUAUGAGUUUAGUAUAUUGAAUGGCAGGGUUUUCUACAUUACCGUUCAAUAUGGUGAACAUGGUGACAUUUUUGCUGUACAAAGACAGUUGUGUAUAUGUAAAAAAAAAAGUUUUAAUGAAAUGUGUGUGAAAAAAGUGGUUAUAGUUUGGGGUAAAUGGUCUCCCUUCUGGAACUUUGCUAAAUUAUUCUAUGUAUAUUGUUCAUUGUAUCAGUUUUUGUUUGUUAGUGAUUGUGAAAAACUGUGAAGCAGGGGAAUAAUAUUGACUCCAACUGGGUCAUUGGGAAGGAUCAGCCAAUUAAGUUAAAA